AGCUCAAGAAGUUAAAGGAGGAGAAUCAAGGAAAGGCAAAGGAAAGGACAUCGAGUAGCCGAGUUAGAACCGUUUUACCCAACACAAGGUUCCUUUGAUUCAUUUUUGUGUGCUCGGGACCAUCGUCGAAGUCAUCACACCAGCUUGCAACUUUUUGGUAUCUUCUUCCUAGUUGGUCUAAGAGAACAUUUCGGCAUGUAUAGGCUAUUAUGUUUUGUUUGAACUUUGGUAUGUAAAACUUUGGAUAGCCAUGCGAAAAUGGCUUAUAUACGUUUUGAGCAUAAUGUUAUAGUCAUCUUGAAUGUAUAUGUUCAUUAAGAGGCAUGGAAACUAUGUAAUAGGUAAAGUCUACCUUAAAAAUGGAUGCUGAUAGCAGCAGUGACGUGGAUGUGAAAAAUCACUAAAAA